rnacentral:rRNA from 1 species
UGCAGUCGAGCGGGGGAGGUAGCUUGCUACUGGACCUAGCGGCGGACGGGUGAGUAAUACUUAGGAAUCUGCCUAUUAGUGGGGGACAACGUUCCGAAAGGAGCGCUAAUACCGCAUACGCCCUACGGGGGAAAGCAGGGGAUCUUCGGACCUUGCGCUAAUAGAUGAGCCUAAGUCGGAUUAGCUAGUUGGUGGGGUAAAGGCCUACCAAGGCGACGAUCUGUAGCGGGUUUGAGAGGAUGAUCCGCCACACUGGGACUGAGACACGGCCCAGACCCCUACGGGAGGCAGCAGUGGGGAAUAUUGGACAAUGGGCGCAAGCCUGAUCCAGCCAUGCCGCGUGUGUGAAGAAGGCCUUAUGGUUGUAAAGCACUUUAAGCGAGGAGGAGGCUUACCUAGCUAAUACCUAGGAUAAGUGGACGUUACUCGCAGAAUAAGCACCGGCUAACUCUGUGCCAGCAGCCGCGGUAAUACAGAGGGUGCAAGCGUUAAUCGGAAUUACUGGGCGUAAAGCGCGCGUAGGUGGCCAUUUAAGUCAAAUGUGAAAUCCCCGAGCUUAACUUGGGAAUUGCAUUCGAUACUGGGUGGCUAGAGUAUAGGAGAGGAAGGUAGAAUUCCAGGUGUAGCGGUGAAAUGCGUAGAGAUCUGGAGGAAUACCGAU